ACUACAUGAAGCUGGAAUCGCUAGUAAUCGCGGAUCAGAAUGCCGCGGUGAAUACGUUCCCGGGUCUUGUACACACCGCCCGUCACACCAUGGGAGUCGGAAAUGCCCGAAGUCUGUGACCCAACCGUAAGGAGGGAGCAGCCGAAGGCAGGUCGGAUGACUGGGGUGAAGUCGUAACAAGGUACC
rnacentral:rRNA from 1 species